AAGAUUUGGAGAAAUAAAUCAUUACAUCACUUGCUCGCCAAUGGAUCCUCUCCAGUGAAUGGGUGCCGUCAGAAUGAGAGUCCAAACAGCUGAUAAAAACAUGACCCAUUCACUGCAUAGGAGCCACUGCUGAGCAAAUGAUGUAAUGCUAGGAUGGCCUGAGGGUUAGUAUAUUUCCAGCAAGUUUUCAGUUGUGGGUAAACUAUUCCUUUAAAUUAUUAGCCAAGAUAAAAAUGUAGCCUGUACAUCAACCCAUUCUCACUCCAAAGGCGUCAAAAACCGAAGCAUGGUCAAGCGCCCCUAGCGUCACUUUUAUGACGCCAAAUGUGCCUCUCGGCGUCGAAUAUCGAAGCACUACGACCUUCAUUGCUUUCAAUGGGAAACUUUUGGCGUCAGAAUUCGACACGAGGACAUGAGAUGUUUAUCGCUAUGAAAUCACGUUCAAGAAGUCUCAUUCAGCACACAUCGCGAUACUUGCUAUCAGUUCCACAGUUUGGCUGAAAAGACGUAAAGGCAGUCAGCCCAGUGGUGUUUCUGGAGAGGGAUUCCUUCAGAAAUGGAGAAGACAGAAAGCUGCGGAGGCAGAUAUAUGCAGCAGAUUGUUUGAGGAUAACGCUGUAGCUCCAUCAUGCACAAGGACUCACCUCGUUAACUCUUUAUCCCCCGCACACACAGAAAUGGUCCCUGGAUCAGUGAUUAGACUUUGCAGUGGUUUGAUUUUUGCAGAAGAUGUAACUUUGUUUUAAUUAUAAGCUCAUAAUGAAUACAUUACAGAACCAGUGAUGAAAACAAUAGUUAAAAAUAGCGCUCCAUAUUAAAAAUAUAUUGCACACUUGACAUGCAUGUCUUCAUGGUGUUUUUUUGUGAGUUUGAAACAUUUACAUUGUGUUGUAUAACAUUUUGGUCACAACACUUUUUCCAGUGUUCUCUGAAAGACAUACUGUAUUUACUGUUUUGUUUUUUAAUAAAAGCAUUUUCAUUUGCAUACUGAAAAUAGUUAAUGUUUACAACAUAACUGCCUUUUUAUUCUUUAUGGUGGCAAAAACGAGCUUGGUGACAGAGGAUGCAGUGUAGUAAU